GAUAUAGAAUAGGGCCCUGAACACAGACCCAGCUGGCCGUGGGGUAACCAGGGACUUAAUUAGGUCGAAAGGCCUUAUCCAUAAUGGUUAGCUUUGUUUCAAAGUCAUCAGGUCUUCCAGUUACCAAAAUCCUUCACACUGAAAAACUAGUAACGCUAUAAAUAUGCCCCAUGCAUCAACCUCAUAGUGUCCAAUAUUUCCAUAAAUCGGUCAUAAGGAACACUGGGGCACAUCCUGAACUGGUAGAAGUAAGCAAAAUGCCACUUCUGUCUUCUUUCCUGCUUGUGUUUUAUGGAGUUACGUUUCUGAGUGAGACAAUCAGAGACCAUUGAGAGAUCUGUCUUUCCCGCUCCCUCCCCUUCAGUUCUAGCUCUCAAUCACCUCUCCUCUACAAUACACCUGAACAACUCUAUUUCAUCUCCACUUCCUGUUGACAGAGCUCUAGUUCUCACACACAUUGUCCUUAGAUCAUCAGACUGAACCCAAACCACACAGUGAAGUACAAAUGGUUGUGGUGGAAUUCACUUCCAGAGCUGACUCUUUGCUCAUUGGCAAACUCUAUAAGCCCAACCUUCUGAAAGCUUCAGACCAGCAAUGCUGGGGCUUGAUGCUGACUGGAGGGUAAGAGUGUCUCCAAGUGGAAAUCAAUGGGGGUUGCUCCUGCCCUGGGGGGUCAAGGUGUCAAGAUCUGGGAGUUCAAGGCAACCGAAGUUACAGGGAGGUUCACUCACAAACGAGGCUGGAGAGGCCCUAACACUAAAGAACAAAAGGAGAGAUUGUUUGGGUCUUGGGUUUUGCAAACUCAUCUGCUGGGAUGACCAAAGCCAAACCUGGGAUGGUUGAGAUAUGGGUGUUGUAGCAGAAAAAGCCUGAAACACAGGGCCUGGUACAAGAUGAGGCCUGAACCAAAAAUCAGCCAGUCAGACUAUGAGCAAGAGUCAGGCCCUGCUACAAAGCACAUGCCUGCUUACACCUUCACUGUCCAGUACAUGAACUUGGUAAGGAUGUGGCUGAUGUUGCUAAAACAGAGACACGCCGAAUAAAUACUAGGCACUAGUUAUUAACGAAAAACAUUCCAGAAGGGUAGAAUAAGAAUACCCCGCUACAGAGUUAUAGAAUAAUUACACUCCCCAAAGAUGUUACAAGGACACACUGACCCCUCCUAGGUUUCAAACCCACAGCUACAGGAUGGUAACUAACCACGUGAGAGGGGUAAUACACAACUUGUCUGUAUCAGUGUAUAAAAGAGGGGUCACGGAAGGUACAUCUGGCCAAGGGGGCAGUAGAAAGUCCCACUGCUGACUGAGCUGGUCCAUUCUCAUGCGCGUCCGUGUCGCAGUGUCCACGCAGAGUCUGGCCAAGCGCCUUUGCCACCGAACGAGUCUGUGGUCUUUCGGGCAGUUUGACUGAGGUCUGCUGGGCUAGCUAUCUGGCCAGAGCCAGGACAAUGUCUGGGCCCACACAGCCAAUAACAGGUGUCCUUUUAUCAGAGCCCCCAGCGAUCAUGGAAGGGUGGAGUGUUGGGUCUGGUAUCUGCCCUUCUCCAGCUAACACUGAAACCCCUGCCUGGAUUCCCCGGUACUGGAGGCGCUGGCUGUCAGUCCCCUGGUGGGUCUGCAGCGAUCGGCCUAGACCCCAAGAUGGAGGGCACAGCAUGGUGUCAUGAAAUGCAGCCAACAGGGUUAGUCCUGAGAGGGGCUGGGCACCUGCAGCUCCCACUGGUUCCUGAGGGAGAUGCAGGAACUCGGCCCUGCUCAGCAUUGGCCCACUGUGAUAGGAAGUGGAACAUUCCACCGUAGGGAUGGUGACCGAGACAAACCCAGAGGUAGAGGACAGGCAGGGGAAGGGAACUAUGACGUAAGCUUUCCCACUGCGUAAGUCCCACUCCAUCCAAGUCACAGGGAAAGGAGCCGUUCGUGAGCCUGGAACUCACUGUCACAGACAGAGCCCCAGCUGGUGACUCUAGAUCUGAAGUGUCAUUUGACUCAGAGUUCAGAGCCAGCCAGAGCUUUCCCCCUACAGUUCCCCUGGGAGGACAUGGGACGGGUCACUUUGCCCAGAUGAGGAGGUGGUGACAAUGACCCGCUACUCAGGUGUGAUGCAGUGAUUGUUGGAUCGGCCACCAGGGGCUGCAGCAUUUCACACCAGGAUGUCGCCCAGAACACAUGGCUGCUGUCCGUGGGUCUGAGUACAGGGACAAGGGUGAUGGAGCAGGGCCUUCUGUGACCAACCUGCUUCCAUUGCUAAAGAAGGGAACAUGAGACACAGAAGGAUGAAGGAAAGAAUUAUUGUAAGGAGGAAGGUAACAAGGCAGGCAGGAGGAAAUGAGGUAUUGAUAAGGAAGGAGAGGGGGUAAAUGAAGAAGUAAGUGAGAAAAACAUCAGAAAACUGAGGAAGGGACAGAGAAGAAAGAGGGAAGGGGACUGGGAGAGGAGAGAGAUGAAAAAGGAGUGGGCAAAGGCUACAAGAGAAGAGAAAGGAGAAGUACAGAAGUGGAUGGGGGUAAGAACCUGGACUGAUUUCUUUAGCUUCAGGUAGAAUCCUGUUUGCUUACAUCUUGACAAAGGCAAAGCAGCCAGGUGUAAUGACUAAGGGCAAUAAUGGAGGCAUUUGUGCAAUUCAGAAAGGAAAGGGUACAAGUGGCCAUAGCUGAGAGGUGGCAUCAGCUUGGUUCUCACCUUUCAAGAGACGACAUUGCACUUGGUCCGGCUUCCGUUGAUUGGAUCGUUGCAGCUUGUCUGUCACAAGUUCUUGUGUGUACCACUUUAGUAAUCAGAGAAACUGUUCCUAUCAAGAGGUAAGGGAUGCACCUUCUCCUAGCAAUAGAGUGGAAACCAACCAAUCUGAGUGUACUUUCAGCUGAAGGAAGUGAAUCUAUCCUUUGCUGUCAAAGGCUACAAGCAGUUUAGUCAGAAUAAAGCAAUAUACAGAACCAAAGCUUCUGAGAGGUUACAGAAAUAUCUACUUCUUCUAGUCAAAAAUAAGGAAACCACUUAUACCUACUAGAUUGCUAAGAAAACAGCUGAUUGUAAGGAGAGAAAAAGGAUAAACCAAUACAGCCAUUCAUCCCACAGAAGCAGGUCAUAUUUUGAGAUGCAAGGAUGACAGAUGGCUGUAGGAUACAGGAAGGAAUUAGCAGAUCCAUCCUUUUAAGGAGGUAAGAAAUACAAUACGCUAUUGCCAUAAUAGUCAAUGAUUCUGAUCAUACUUUCAGGUGGAAGAAAUGUAAAGGAUGAAAUCGUCACCUCUUGAAAGGGCACAAGAAGUUGCUGUACCGAAUAAAGCAAUAAAAAAGAGGGAGUUACCUGUUCAGAGGUAAGGAAAGUCGGUAAUUCUAACCGAUGAUCAUGACUUCUGCUCCUUUCCCCUACCCGGCUAAUGGUUGGUUGUUCCGACAAGGAUGUAUCACAGAAGAAGUGCAACUAACCAGAGUGUGAAGAUGAGCAUUUAAGCUGGUCUUAUAUUUGCAGAGAUGAGUUGUCCAGCUGAUUCUCUUUGUGCAGAAUGGAUCAUUGUUGCUUAUUUAUCAAAUGUGAAGAAGAAGUCAGUGGAAUUGAUCAUUUCUAUCAAGAGGUAAGGAAUGCACCUCCUCUCAGCACAGGGGCAGGAAUAACUGGCUCUGUUUCUAUUUUCAGGUGGAAUGAAGGUCUGACCAUUAAGGGGGCGGGGGAAGAUAAGAGGCUGCUGAAUUUAAUAAUAGUCAGACAGGUAACAAUAUCUGGCCAGGGGGAAGAAAAGCAUCUUUUACUUCAAGCUCAGAAAGAGGAAAGCAGCCAAUGAUAUGCUUCAAGUUGUAACCAGUGUAGCUGGCUGUACCUCUAAGAAUCAAAGCUUUGUGGUGAAACAUCAUUGAGAAGUAGGUGAGCACGAAAAAGUCUGUAGAAGCCUCAUGAUCUGGAUGGUAAGGAACCGUUUCUAUUGAUGACUCUUCAUAACUAGUAAUGAGUAACAAUAAUAAAUAAUUGUCAGGUUUUGCUAAUUGGAGAUGUGAACAGAACAGGUGGCCAUUCCUACCAGGGAGAAGUGAGGGUAAGUGGCUGUCCCGGGCAAGGAUGUAAGUGAUACCAGUCUCCAAACAUCCAUGUGUAUAUCAAGUGGUGUGGAGUUUUCUUUCAGGGAGAAGAACUGUGGUGGACCUUACUGUCAGGGGGAGAGUGUGAAAAGCAGAGGCAAGAGAAAGCAACAUGGACUAGCCAGCUGCUGAAUCCAUGGAGGACUCCAAUGAGAAGACGCUGUUAUUUCAAGGAACAACAAACAGAAAACAAACAGUCACUUCAAAUAGUUCAGCUAGUUGCAAAUCUGAAUAUGAAGGAAGUCAGCAGAACACAGACAUGGAGAUGAGAGAAACGCAGCUGAUUUGAACUUUGAGGGUGUGAAAACUUCAGGAAGUUGCGAGAAGAUCUGAGAUAUCUGCAGGAAGGAAACCAGUGAAACUCAUCACUGCUGCCAAGAGGUAAGGAACUCACCUCACAAUGGAGAAAUUAAUGGAUCUGGUUUCCCUUCAGGUGAAAGAAAUGCAGCUGAUCUGAUCUCCGAGGGGUUGAGGACUAUAAGCAGUCAUGUUACUGAAGAAUACAGGAACACAUGUUCCCAGACCUGCAGAGAGGGAAAAAAGUUGCCUUCCUUGACUAGAAUGGGAAGACAAUCCCUUAUCACCAUCAGGUUACAAACCCACAAUGCAGGAGGCCAUCACUGACAGAGAAGAAGAGUUACAGACGCUCAGGAUUUGAGCACAAGAAAUAGGAAUGGAGCUGAACAGAUCCAACACCUGAAAGGACAAUUGGAUCUCAUAAGAUAUGAGACCAUGAAAAAGACCCUUCAUUCAAUAAAGCAACAGAAUUGGCUCUGAGGAGAGGUAAGAAGCAUUUGGUAAAUCUACCAAACGAGCAUAUAAUCAAUUCUACAAAAUUGCUAACUUCCAUUGUGUCAAAGAGUUUGUUACAGCUGAUCACACAUCUCAGGAUCGAAGACGAGCUCAGGGGCACGGCAGACAUCAGGGAAUUCAUCUUUAUCUGGAGAUGAUGAACCUGCUUGUCAGUGCCUUUGGUUAGACUUUCAGAUGAAGGAAACACAGCCAGUGUGGUCAGUAUUCAAGAAAUAAUGUUAAAAGGUGCCUGGAGUCACCUCUUGGGCUAAGGGGAGCGGCUGGUCCCAUCUACCGGGAUGGAAGCAAAGAAGAAAGAACUGGCCACUGGUUAGUACUGGGACACAGACAAUACCGUGGAGGGGCUUGGGACAGGGUGUGUAACCAUAGUGACCAGUAGGUCCUUUCCCCACUGUGGUCCUGGCUCGCAUGCACAGGGUGAAACUGAUCGCCAUGUUUGGGGUCAGGAAGGAAUUUUCCUCCAGGGCAGAUUGGCCAGAGACCCUGGAGGUUUUUCGCCUUCCUCUGGGGCAUCGAGCAGGGACCAGCCCUUUGGGCCAUUUAGAAACUGACAAUAAAAUCCAUUAGAGAGA